UACGUAGGGUCCGAGCGUUGUCCGGAAUUACUGGGCGUAAAGAGCUCGUAGGUGGUUUGUCGCGUUGUUCGUGAAAAACUCACAGCUCAACUGUGGGCGUGCGGGCGAUACGGGCAGACUUGAGUACUGCAGGGGGAGACUGGAAUUCCUGGUGUAGCGGUGGAAUGCGCAGAUAUCAGGAGGAACACCGGUGGCGAAGGCGGGUCUCUGGGCAGUAACUGACGCUGAGGAGCGAAAGCGUGGGGAGCGAACAGG
rnacentral:rRNA from 1 species